rnacentral:rRNA from 1 species
AUGAACGCUGGCGGCGUGCUUAACACAUGCCAGUCGAACGGAAAGGCCCAAGCUUGCUUGGGUACUCGAGUGGCGAACGGGUGAGUAACACGUGGGUGAUCUGCCCUGCACUUCGGGAUAAGCCUGGGAAACUGGGUCUAAUACCGGAUAGGACCACAUUUUGGAUGGUGUGGUGGAAAGUUUUUCGGUGUGGGAUGAGCUCGCGGCCUAUCAGCUUGUUGGUGGGGUAAUGGCCUACCAAGGCGUCGACGGGUAGCCGGCCUGAGAGGGUGUACGGCCACAUUGGGACUGAGAUACGGCCCAGACUCCUACGGGAGGCAGCAGUGGGGAAUAUUGCACAAUGGGCGCAAGCCGGAUGCAGCGACGCCGCGUGGGGGAUGACGGACUUCGGGUUGGAAACUCCUUUCGCUAGGGACGAAGCGUUAUGUGACGGUACCUGGAGAAGAAGCACCGGCUAACUACGUG